ACCUACGGGACGCAGCAGUGAGGAAUAUUGGUCAAUGGUCGGGAGACUGAACCAGCCAAGCCGCGUGAGGGAUGAAGGUACAGAGUAUCGUAAACCUCUUUUGUCAGGGAACAAAGGCGGGGACGUGUCCCCGGAUGAGUGUACCUGAAGAAAAAGCAUCGGCUAACUCCGUGCCAGCAGCCGCGGUAAUACGGAGGAUGCGAGCGUUAUCCGGAUUUAUUGGGUUUAAAGGGUGCGUAGGCGGAAGGUUAAGUCAGCGGUCAAAUGUCGGUGCUCAACACCGGCCUGCCGUUGAAACUGGUCUU
rnacentral:rRNA from 1 species